rnacentral:rRNA from 1 species
CUUGAAAAAGAAGAUCAAGAAGAGCUUCGAAGAAGCUUUCUUGAUGGAGGGGAGCGGCAGACGGGUGAGUAACGCGUGGGAACGUACCCUUUUCUACGGAAUAACGCAUGGAAACGUGUGCUAAUACCGUAUACGCCCUAUGGGGGAAAGAUUUAUCGGAGAAGGAUCGGCCCGCGUUGGAUUAGCUAGUUGGUGGGGUAAAGGCCUACCAAGGCGACGAUCCAUAGCUGGUCUGAGAGGAUGAUCAGCCACAUUGGGACUGAGACACGGCCCAAACUCCUACGGGAGGCAGCAGUGGGGAAUAUUGGACAAUGGGCGCAAGCCUGAUCCAGCCAUGCCGCGUGAGUGAUGAAGGCCUUAGGGUUGUAAAGCUCUUUCACCGGAGAAGAUAAUGACGGUAUCCGGAGAAGAAGCCCCGGCUAACUUCGUGCCAGCCGCCGCCGUAAGAC